AAGUAGCAUCUACUCUGCCCCAGCUUUGAGAUCUGUUACCAAACGAAUGCUGGCGUUUUAAUUUCCCUCAUCAAGACUGGUCCUGUUUAGCCAGCCUCUUUAAGGGGUCCCAGCACUGGCCUCACUCCGACGCCUGAUGAGGUUCCAGAACAGCAGAAUCGAGCACAAAGUUGGGCAUGCCUCUUUGCAGAACCUUAGAUUCAGAACUGUGCCUUACCCUUUGCUUAUGAGGCGGAGGAGGAGGUAGAAGAGGAAGAGAAAGAACUACCACAAAGAGAGAUGGCAUCAAAGGUAAAAUGAAGGCUGACCCAGCCAAUCCCACUCAGGCUGACCAGUGAGGGAACAGCAUUAAAGCAAGAAACGAUCAGGUUUCAGCAGCCCAGCCCUUCCCGUCGAGUCUCAUCCUUUGCUUCAUCCAUUCAACAAGUCAUACUAAAAAUAAAUUAGUGUUAAUACAA